GUAAACACUUGUUCCCAUGCGAUCACCGAAGUUAAGCAACGUCGAACCUGGUCAGAAACUAGAUGGCUGAUCGUUUGAGAAUACCAGGUGUUGUAAG